UACGUAGGGUGCGAGCGUUGUCCGGAAUUACUGGGCGUAAAGAGCUCGUAGGUGGUUUGUCGCGUUGUUCGUGAAAACCGGGGGCUUAACCCUCGGCGUGCGGGCGAUACGGGCAGACUUGAGUACUGCAGGGGAGACUGGAAUUCCUGGUGUAGCGGUGGAAUGCGCAGAUAUCGGGAGGAACACCUGUGGCGAAGGCGGGUCUCUGGGCCGAUACUGACGCUGAGGAGCGAAAGCGUGGGGAGCGAACAGG
rnacentral:rRNA from 1 species